GCAAGUCGAGCGGACAGAUGGGAGCUUGCUCCCUGAUGUUAGCGGCGGACGGGUGAGUAACACGUGGGUAACCUGCCUGUAAGACUGGGAUAACUCCGGGAAACCGGGGCUAAUACCGGAUGGUUGUUUGAACCGCAUGGUUCAAACAUAAAAGGUGGCUUCGGCUACCACUUACAGAUGGACCCGCGGCGCAUUAGCUAGUUGGUGAGGUAACGGCUCACCAAGGCAACGAUGCGUAGCCGACCUGAGAGGGUGAUCGGCCACACUGGGACUGAGACACGGCCCAGACUCCUACGGGAGGCAGCAGUAGGGAAUCUUCCGCAAUGGACGAAAGUCUGACGGAGCAACGCCGCGUGAGUGAUGAAGGUUUUCGGAUCGUAAAGCUCUGUUGUUAGGGAAGAACAAGUACCGUUCGAAUAGGGCGGUACCUUGACGGUACCUAACCAGAAAGCCACGGCUAACUACGUGCCAGCAGCCGCGGUAAUACGUAGGUGGCAAGCGUUGUCCGGAAUUAUUGGGCGUAAAGGGCUCGCAGGCGGUUUCUUAAGUCUGAUGUGAAAGCCCCCGGCUCAACCGGGGAGGGUCAUUGGAAACUGGGGAACUUGAGUGCAGAAGAGGAGAGUGGAAUUCCACGUGUAGCGGUGAAAUGCGUAGAGAUGUGGAGGAACACCAGUGGCGAAGGCGACUCUCUGGUCUGUAACUGACGCUGAGGAGCGAAAGCGUGGGGAGCGAACAGGAUUAGAUACCCUGGUAGUCCACGCCGUAAACGA
rnacentral:rRNA from 1 species